rnacentral:hammerhead_ribozyme from 13 species
AACCCGUGGGACGCGACUCCCUGAUGAGCCCCAAAAAGGGCGAAACCGGUC